GAGCACGUAGGUGGGUUUGUAAGUCAGAUGUGAAAGCCUUCUGUUCAACGGAAGAAUUGCAUCUGAAACUACAAACCUUGAGUAUAGGAGGGGAGAAUGGAACUUCUGGUGGAGCGGUGAAAUGCGUAGAUAUCAGAAGGAACGCCGGCGGCGAAAGCGAUUCUCUGGCCUAUUACUGACACUCAGUGUGCGAAAGCUAGGGGAGCAAACGGGAUUAGAUACCCCGGUAGUCCUAGCCGUAAACGAUGGGCACUAAGUAGAGGGGUUA
rnacentral:rRNA from 1 species